AUUGAACGCUGGCGGCAGGCCUAACACAUGCAAGUCGAACGAGUGGCGGACGGGUGAGUAAUGUCUGGGAAACUGCCCUAUGGAGGGGGAUAACUACUGGAAACGGUAGCUAAUACCGCAUACCAUCGGAUGUGCCCAUAUGGGAUUAGCUAGUUGGUGGGGUAACGGCUCACCCCGGCGACGAUCCCUCGCUGGUCUGAGAGGAUGACCAGCAACCCUGGGACUGAGACACGGGCCAGACUCCUACGGGAGGCAGCAGUGGGGAAUAUUGAACAAUGGGCGCAAGCCUGAUGCAGCCAUGCCGCGUGUAUGAAGAAGGCCUUCGGGUUGUAAAGUACUUUCAGCGAGGAGGCGGUACUCGCAGAAGAAGCACCGGCUAACUCCGUGCCAGCAGCCGCGGUAAUAC
rnacentral:rRNA from 1 species